rnacentral:lncRNA from 1 species
CUCAUCAUCACUAAAAGAGAUGAAAUUGUCCGUAUUCAGAUUGUUUACCCACCUAUCAAGCUUCUCAACGGAUAUGUUGUUAGCUACGUAAGCUUGAUUUAACACUUUCAGCAAAGCGUUCCGAUGUGGCUCUGAAUUUAAGAGUAGAGAUAAAAUUGAGAUUCUUGCUGGCUGCUUGCUUAAUUGUUCCACCACACUAUACUCACUGUGCUUGAUAAAUUUCAAGAAUUCCUGAGCUUCUUCCUCGUUCACAGGCUUUUUAGUUUCUUGCACGGGUGGAAUUUCUUGCUCGACUUCGACUUCGUGCAUCACUGCUUUCCCUUUUUGCUUCGAGUCACUACUUUUCUUUAUCGGUUCAAUUUCUUUAGAAUAGCACCGUCCACUUCGGGUAAAAUGACCUACCUCUCCCACAUCUUCAGUUAUGGCUUUGGAAUUUCCAACUUCCGG